rnacentral:snoRNA from 1 species
AACCAAGGGCCUGAAGUGCUUGAGACAUCCGGGGAGGGGGAACGGAGGAACUUGCUUCGGCAACUUCCUUGUCUGUCCUUGCUAUUGUAGCUUAGCCUCCUCAGUUCUCUUGCACACGAUCGACACUCGAGAGGCAGAGCCUCAAGAAGUCACGCCGCAGCCGCACUAGUCCGCUUCUCCUCUGCUCUUCGAGCGGGGUCUGAGUCGCGGGCACCGCGUGUUUGCAGCGCGGCUAUUGCCAUUUUUAAUGGAUGAGGCAGAAGCGCCCUGUCGACAGGUACCAAGAUAAAGUAGGAUGCACGGUCUAGAAUUCUUAGAACCUCUUCGGGGGCUCUAAUUGAGUUCGGCCGUCUUUGUUGUCGUUCUACCGCAGUAUAUUCCUAGACUCUGUGUAGGUCCUAUGGGCCAGUUGUCACUUGGGUAAAACCAUACUGCAGACAUUU